AUUGAACGCUGGCGGCAGGCCUAACACAUGCAAGUCGAGCGGAUGAAGGGAGCUUGCUCCUGGAUUCAGCGGCGGACGGGUGGGUAAUUCCUAGGAAUAUGCCUUGUCGUGGGGGAUAACGUCCGGAAACGGGCGCUAAUACCGCAUACGUCCUGAGGGAGAAAGUGGGGGAUCUUCGGACCUCACGCUAUCAGAUGAGCCUAGGUCGGAUUAGCUAGUUGGUGGGGUAAGGGCCUACCAAGGCGACGAUCCGUAACUGGUCUGAGAGGAUGAUCAGUCACACUGGAGCUGAGACACGGUCCAGACUCCUACGGGAGGCAGCAGUGGGGAAUAUUGGACAAUGGGCGAAAGCCUGAUCCAGCCAUGCCGCGUGUGUGAAGAAGGUCUUCGGAUUGUAAAGCACUGUAAGUUGGGAGGAAGGGCAGUAAGUUAAUACCUUGCUGUUUUGACGUUACCAACAGAAUAAGCACCGGCUAACUUCGUG
rnacentral:rRNA from 1 species